UACGUAGGGGGCAAGCGUUGUCCGGAUUUAUUGGGCGUAAAGAGCGUGUAGGCGGCUAGAUAGGUCCGUUGUGAAAACUCGAGGCUCAACCUCGAGACGUCGAUGGAAACCAUCUGGCUAGAGUCCGGAAGAGGAGAGUGGAAUUCCUGGUGUAGCGGUGAAAUGCGCAGAUAUCAGGAAGAACACCCGUGGCGAAAGCGGCUCUCUGGAACGGUACUGACGCUGAGGAGCGAAAGUGUGGGGAGCGAACAGG
rnacentral:rRNA from 1 species